UUUAAAAAAGGGUGUGGGCUGUAGCUGCUGGUGGUGAAGCUACUCAAGCCAGUUUAUAACUACAGUAUUCUGGAGCUGGAGAGUCACUUCUUUAUGUUCCUGUCUUCUUUGACACAAUAGAUAUGUUUAUUAAGGUUAUGAAAUCUGUGGACUAGAAAAUCUGCCAGAAGGACCUGCUGCACUUAUUAUCAUGAAGCUGUUGUGAUAGACUAUUACUUCUUUGUAUACAGAAUCUAUAGACUCACAGAAGCAAAAUUAUCUCACCAGAAUGCAUGAAAGCUUGAGAGCCACAGAUAGCCCUGAAAUAUGCCACAGAUUUUUUGAAGGACAUGGACACUUUUACUUGGAAGGAAAACCCUCCAUUGAUAACAGGUGAUAAAACGGUCACUAGUAAAUAGCGAUCUUGCUUUUCCCCUGACCUGCAACAGACAUUGGGAAACAACAAAAGGAAUUCCCAGCCAGGAAGUCCUUCUAGGAAGGACCGAGGAAAAUGCAAGGAAGAAAAGACCAUGACUACCCCCCCCCCGCCUCCUCUAUUCUGCUCUUUUCUCUAUGGAAAUUAUGACAGGAAAGAUUGAGCUCCUUGUGCCACAUAGAGAAACAGCAGCCACCUCUGCUUGCUGGUUGAUUUGCUCUUGCUGGAUGGUACUGCCCAUAGCUGAAAUAGCAGAAAAUUCCCCAGAGCCCAUCAACAAUUUAGGGGAAAUGAUUUCAAUUUGUAGAUCCACCAUCCACAGGAAGGAAGAGGCUACUGCAAGCCGAAACAUUAGCUAGGAAGUAAUACUGAGGCAAGCCUCCAAACCAUGACAUCAAUACCACCAAAUCUGGUAUUUUGUGCACAAACCCAGGCAAGGGGCCUAAAGGGCAAACACAGAAUUCCUCAUCUGUCCUGUUGACACAUUCAAAGGGUGUUUGUUUGUUUCAAAUUUUUGGAGGAAACAAGACAUUUAUUCUUUUUUUCUCCAGCCACGUAAUUCUCUUUUAUUGCAAUUGUCGUUACUAGGAAAUAAAACUUCAUAUCAGUCACUGUUCUGAUCUUACACAUGAAGAAUGUGUGGAACCUCUGAAGAAAAGGCAUCUCCUGGGCAUUGCCCCCGAUGGAGUUUGAGAACAAAUUUCUGGAGAAAAUACAGAUAAGCUUAUGUGGUAGAAACAAAAGGUGCUGUUCAAAUAGCUACAGAUGCAACAGUGGUGAGUACUUUACCUUUGUAACAUAAUGCCCCUGCAGCUGUAUUGUCUGAAUUUUUUACAGAUCAUAUUCCAGUUUAAUGCUAUACAUUUAUGUAAUACUGUUUGUGCCUCCAAAGUAUCUCACAAGGUAAUUAAAAGAGAUAUGUGCAGUUUUUCUGACAGGUCUGCAAAAGCUUACAAAGGUUGCCAUAAGUCAAUUCCGACUUAUGGCAACACUUUCCAGGAUUUUCUGGGUAGAGGGUACUCAGAAGUGGUUAACCAUUCCAUUGUAAGCUGCAAGCAUGUUAAGUGACACAUUUGAAUUAUAUCAGAGUCUUCAUAAAUAGAUCCCAGAAGCAUUGCUAAGAUAAGUAAUGGCUGCACUAAUGUCAACUUAAAAGAACUGUUUAUAUUAUGUUGUUUCUCAGACAAAUAACUCUAACAUAUUCCUCUCCAAUCUCCGCUGCAUACUUUCAUAAUAGAAUACUGUCCCACUGAGGAAAAUCCUCAAAUUUGAGGAAAGAACACUUAUUGCCUGCUCCACUGAGGAAAAUGAUCAGACUAGAUGCAUUAUAGACAACAAGCACUUCUCUAAAUGUCUGGAGUAAAACUCCGUAUUACAAAGGCUUUCCCUAUAUUUUUGACUUCCUUUCUGCAAUCAGAUUUGCAAACUAACCCUAGGAUUAUCUUUCAAUGAUUCAUCAUAAAUAAAAGCAUGCAAAAUGCAAGACACAUAGGAAAUCAGAGGAAAAGACAGACUGCCUUCACACAUAGAGAAAACAUCUCUGUAAAAACAAAAAAUUAUAAUAUAUGUAUCCUGUAGUUUGGCACUAUUUUGAUUGCACUGUUUUUUAACUAUCACAGUUUGACACUCACCAAGUUAGAAUUUUAACACAUGCACUUAAAAGAAUUUAAUCUGCCUAGGAAAUUUGCAGUCAGAUCACAUUUGGAGCUCAAAAUAGAAACGAAAUGUCCCAAACCACGAAUCGACGGAGCUUUUUCCUCUGCAAAUAGUUUCCGUGCACAUGAUUUCUCUUACUGAUUUCAUGGAGAAGAAUUCAAUGAUGUGUGGACACAAAUGAAGUUUCAAAAAAUGCUUUUUCAAUCUUGUGAAUUCUACCUUUAAAAGUAAAGGUGACUGUUGGAGCAAUUGAUUCUAGAAUACUAAAACAAUAAUAUAGAGAUGGGUAGCCUGACAAAUAACGGAUUGUUACAAAGUAUAGAAAUGUCUCUGUACAUUUUAGAACAUACAGAAAAUAAGGCAUCCUCGAGGUCGUACUGCUUCCUGCCACCAACUACUGGCAGAAUGGCAUACUGAACUCCUGCAAUUUUACUUAGAAACAAACUUCCCUGAAAGAGAAUUCCACCUGAAUACAAGGUGUAUGCUCCUGAGAAAUUAUUAAGAUGCCAAUUUAAUUCCUGAUAGAAAUGGCAUAUGACACUCAAAAUCAGACAGCUCUAAGGCAGUGAUGUUGAUCACAGAAGUACAGAGAGUACCAGAUAAUGAAACAUAAAAGUCCUUAUACAAUGCAAACAAAAUUGUGCAGACGCUUAAUGUGAAAGAAUUGUCGGACAGAUAUUUCUUAAGACUCAAGACUGUAACACAUUGAACAAGAUGCUAUUGUGGACAGAGAAAGCAUGAAAACUCUUUUUCUUUCCUUGAUAUCUUUGAUUAUGGCA